rnacentral:snRNA from 1 species
AUGAGGAACUAGCAACAGAGACUAAGAAGGAAAAGCCAAGGCAUAUCCAUUGGACUGCAGAUGGGCUGACCCCUGCGAUUUCCCCAAAUGUGGAAACCCGACUGCAUAAUUUGUAGUAGNNNNNN